CCUAUCCUAAGAACUUUUUUAAAAGUGGUAUUUCCAGAAGGUACAGAACACUCAAUAUGUUCUCCAGGGUUUGUGGAAAUGAUGGCAAGUAAUUUGCAUCUGGCUCUUGGAGGCUGAAGUUUCCGCAACAUCUUCCCAAGGGAUGAAGGGGGAAAUGGAAAAAGAAGACAGGCAGACAACACAGGCAAUGCACUUAGAUGGCAGCACAGAUAAAAAGGAAGAACCCUUCUCCAGCAGAGAGAGAUAGAAUGGGUUCAAUUGACCCCAGGCUAAACUGCUAUAAGAAUUGUAGAUUGUGAUCAUUUCUCUUUUAUUGAAGGGGAACUGCAGGCAUCUUCCAAUGGCACAUGAAGUGCUCACAAGAGGAUGGGCCACAUUGAAAAAGAAGAAGAGAGAAAGUACUUCAAGAUAGGGAAAGCCUGUAAGCACAGCAGUAUUUUAUUUUAGUAGAAGGUAUGUGAGGGCUAUCAC